rnacentral:tRNA from 1 species
UCCCUAGUGGCUCAGAGGGAAAGCGUCUGUCUUCAAUGUGGGAGACCCGGGUUCGAUCCCUGGGUUGGGAA